CUGUGUGUCUCUCAUGAAUAAAUAAAUAAAAUCUUUAAAAUAAGUAAGUAAGUAAAUAAAUAAAUAAAAUCCAGAAUUCAAUCCAAAUUUACAUCUUGCAUUUGGCUGUUAAUCAUUUACAUAGAGUUCAAAGAGUAAAAACGCAAGCACGGGAGAUUUGAUCCACGAUCCUCGGAAAAGGCUAGUGAUAAAGUGCUCGUAACGUUUUGUACCAAAGUAUUCCUGACUGAUGCCACUGGUUGAGCAUAUCGUCCGCAUUAGUGGUCUUUUCCUAAAAUAUUUCACUCUUUUCCUCAUUUCACUAUAUUUAAAUUGAUGGGCGUUUGUAUUAAUCCGUACGCAUCAUCUUAAAAACUCCAAUUUCAUAGACCUGUGUUUAUUCGAAGGUUUCAAAACAGUUGGAGGAUUCACGCCCCAAAUCUAGAGGAUUCAUUGCAGCUCCACUCCGAAAGGGACAAGAACCAUGACCUUUCCUGCUUCGAGCCCAGUUUUUCAGCGAUAUGUUGUUUCAGGUGGCUAAUCAUUUAGAAAACAUGUCAAGGAGGAAUAUAUGUUAAGAAAGAGAGACGGAUGGAUAAAACCACUAGCGUCAGGAAAGUCAUCAUGAAUAUACAAUCCUUGAUUUGGUUUGCUGCUCAACCGAGGUUUCCUCUGGAAGCUCCGGACCCGUGUUGAAAGCAACCUUCUUCGAGGAGAAGGAACAGCUGUUUACCAUCUUCCUGAGAGUAGAAUUGAACACACCAAACCAAGAGGCACCAAAUCACCGUCAGGCGUCCCUCAUUGAGGCAAAGGGGCCCUCAUAGGUCCGUGGUCCUCGCAGGGGUCCUCUGACCACCGGCACCAGCGCCUCCUGGAACCCGACAGACGUGCAGAUUCUCGGGCCUCACCCCACACCUGCCUACUCAGAACCUCGGGGGGUGAGUCCACCAGCAAUUGGUGUUUUAACAAAACUUCCAAGGGAUUGUCAGAGAACUGCUGAUAGGGUAGCCGUUUUGAUGGA
rnacentral:lncRNA from 1 species